AGUGAACGCUGGCGGUAGGCCUAACACAUGCAAGUCGAACGGCCGCACAGUAUGAGCUUGCUCUUACGGGUGGCGCGUGGCGGCCGGGUGAGGAAUACAUCGGAAUCUACUUUUUCGUGGGGGAUAACGUAGGGAAGCUUAAGCUACUAACGCAUACGACCUACGGGUGAAAGCAGGGGUUCUUCGGAACUUGCGCGAUUGAAUGAGCCGAUGUCGGAUUAGCUAGUUGGCGGGGUAAAGGCCCACCAAGGCGACGAUCCGUAGCUGGUCUGAGAGGAUGAUCAGCCACACUGGAACUGAGACACGGUCCAGACUCCUACGGGAGGCAGCAGUGGGGAAUAGUGGACAAUGGGCGCAAGCCUGAUCCAGCCAUACCGCGUGGGUGAAGAAGGCCUUCUGGUUGUAAAGCCCUUUUGUUGGGAAAGAAAAGCAGCAGGUUAAUACCCCGCGGUUCUGACGGUACCCAAAGAAUAAGCACCGGCUAACUUCGUG
rnacentral:rRNA from 1 species